rnacentral:rRNA from 1 species
AACGAACGCUGGCGGCGUGCCUAACACAUGCAAGUCGAACGGAUUGAAGGGGCUUGCUCCUUCAGUUAGUGACGCACGGGUGAGUAACGCGUAGAUAAUCUGCCUGAUGAUCUGGGAUAACAGUUCGAAAGGACUGGUAAUACCGGAUAAGCCCACGUGGUCUUUGGACCGUGAGGGAAAAGGGGGGGACCUUCGGGCCUUCUGUCAUCAGCUGAGUCUGCGUACCAUUAGCUAGUUGGUAGGGUAAUGGCCUACCAAGGCUACGAUGGGUAGCUGGUUUGAGAGAAUGAUCAGCCACACUGGAACUGAGACACGGUCCAGACUCCUACGGGAGGCAGCAGUGGGGAAUUUUGCGCAAGGGGCGAAAGCCUGACGCAGCAACGCCGCGUGAGUGAUGAAGGCUUUCGGGUCGUAAAGCUCUGUCGAGGGGAAAGAAGUGUAUUGUGGUUAAUACCCGCGAUACUUGACGGUACCCCUAAAGGAAGCACCGGCUAACUCCGUGCCAGCAGCCGCGGUAAUAC